GACCAAACCAACCAACCACGAAGUAGAAGAGAACUCCAGAUGAGAGAGAGAGAGAGAGCAGACUUCGUGAAGGAGAGCGAGAAACGAGAGCUCUCGCUAUCGCGAUCGCGAUCAGGCCCAAAAGUUGACGGUGCGAUUUUGGCGAGAACACGUGAUUUUGAACCAGAGCCUUACGAAGAUGAGUCGAAUCUAAAAGAACCAACGACGUCGCGAACCAAAGAGAGAACCAGGGAUGUUGCGAACCAAAGAGAGAGGUGGAAGUCGACGAAGGCAAAGAGAGAGAGAGAUGCGAACCAAAGAUCACACUCGACUUUGACUUUCAGAUUCAAAGUCGAAGUAGGAGAGCAGAAGCUGAUGGAGAACCAGAUGGGUCGUCGAAUCAACUUCGAACCAGUCGACGACUUCAAGCCAAAUGAAAAACCAAACGGAGAGACCAAAUUGUGCGAAACCCUAGCCAUCACGAGAUCAACGAUUGUGUUGCUUUGAUACCAUGAUGUGGAAACCUUAAAUCUUUGCCUAAAGGAAUGCAACUCCUCGUCAAACUCAAAACAGUGACUAUUGCAGCUUAUCCCAAAUUGACCUCUCUGCUAAGUACCAUGAAGAAUUUACCCAAGUUGAGGAAUCUUGAGAUUAGUAAUUGUCCAAAUCUUGACUUGGCAGGGUGGGAGGACUUUGUAGGCCUUAGGAGGUUUCAAUAAAUUGAAGGUACCAAAAUUUUAUGACCUUGUGGCUUUACCAGUGCAUGUAAUGGAAAUUUCAUAUCAGUAAGAGAACCAUGAAGUGUGAAGUGACAGGCGUUCGAUGGAAAACCAACCAAUGGAUGGCUUGUAUC